rnacentral:lncRNA from 1 species
UGGAUACAGUGAGCCUGUGCUGAAUGCAGUGCGCCUGCAGUGCGACUUCACCUUUAUGCAGUGUCCCUGCAGUUGUUGCAGUGCCCACUGCAUUGUCCAAGAACGUGGAUGCAGUGCCCAGGCUUUGGAUGCAGUUUGCCACAAGGUGCAAGCAAUAUGUUGUGACGGAGGAUGCAGUGCCCAUGAGGGUGGAUGCAGUGAUCCAGCAGUGGUUACAGUGCACCCUGCUGUGUCCCUGAAUGUGCAUGCUCUGAACAUGCAGUGGAUGCAGUGAUCCUGCAGUGAUUGCAGUGCACCUGUAUUUCCACAUGAGCUGGAAGCAGUGUCCCUGCAGGGGCUGCAUUUGUGUCUUGUGUGUCCCUGAAGGUGAAUGCAGUGCCCAUACGGUGGAUGCAGUGUACCUAAACGUUUAUGCAGUAUGUUGUGACGGAGGAUGCAGUGCGCAUGAAGGUGGAUGCAGUGUCACUGCAGUGGUUGAAGGGCCCCCAGCAUUGUGCUGGAAUGUGGAUGCAGGGGUCAUGUAGUGGAUGCAGUGUCUCACAAGGUAGAUGCAGUAUGUUUAGUCAGAGGAUGCAGUGCCCAUGAAGGUGGAUGUGGUGAACAUGCAGUGGUUGCAGUGCUCCCUACAGUUUCCCUGAAUGUGGAUGCAGUGCCCAUGCAGUGCAUGCAGUGUCCCACAAGGUGGAUGCGGUAUGCUGUGAUGGAGGAUGCAGUGCCCACGAAGGUGGAUGCAGUGAGCCUGAAGUGAUUGCAGUGCACUUGCAGUGCCUCUGCAGCAGGAUGCAGUGUAGCUGCUGUGGUUGCAGAGCCCCCUGACAUUUCCCU